AAUAGUCACAGUUGCUGCAUUGCGUGGAUAUAACUGGCUUCAGGAAGACUAUCCAACACAAUGUGGUUUGGUAGGAGGAUGUUUGUGUGCAGUCCUGCUGGCAUACCAGUGCUGAGGUGAAAGAUCACCUGAGGAAGGGGGACAGGCCUUCUGUUUUAACAAGAAACCAUAUCAGACUCCUAUUCAUCUUGCUUCCUGCCUCUGCUGUAUCCCUUCAAAAGCUGGGAUGUACAGAAUGCUAAAGCUGCAGCAUAAGCAUGAUUGAUACUUAUUGUGGGACUGUGGAAUUGCUACUCUCCUUUCUUCUCUUUAAAAAUCAGGGUGAACAUAUAGAAAGAUAUGCCAUGGACUUCAGGCCAACUUCUUUUCUACCUGAUCUCAACUGAAUCACCAAACACAAGUUUAAGUCAGAGGAAACCCUUCUUAUUGUAUUUCUCUUAUUUUCAUUCAGACCACAUUAUCUAAACUCAUGCGGAGUGAUUUCUAACCUGAACUGCCAUGCUUGCCUCUGGAGGAAAAAGGCCUCAGAAGCAUCUUGAUAAAUUGAUGUACAUCUAUGUAUGAUAUGCACUUUAUGCGAUGUAAGUAGGAAGAACAAGUGUAACUCAUGCAAAUUAUGACUCCUGAGUCUAAUCUAAAUUGGUGGAACCAUCAAUGCAACUGGACAGCUAGAAGGGGGAUGGAGUUGCUUAACGCAUCCAGGUGUCUUUGUUGCUGCAACUCAGCUACGAAGGACACAGCAUUAAGUGCAAAAUUUCUGGAUAAAGAGCUGUGGACCUGGUUCCUCUAAUGAAGAUUCUCAUUACAGAAAAUGCCUUCAUCUGAGUUGGAAAACAAAUACAAAAAACAGAACCUGUUCAACCAGGCUUGUGGAUAACACUGAUGAUGCUCUGUUUCGAUGAGAUGACAUAACUUACUGCCACAGCAGCCUCAGAAUCUUCUGUUCAUGUCUAAUGACGAGACAAAAUACAGCUCUGCCUUAUUAACUGAAACUUGCAUACAUCCAAAAUCAGCUUAAAUUUCUCAACAGAAAUCUUAGCAGCUCUGUGUACCAAACCUCUUUCUGUUGCCUGCUGACCUUCCAUACCUGCACAAAGAGCAAAGGGUGUGUUCUGUGGGAUGUGCACAUAGUAUGUGCCUCCCUGGAGAAGUGC
rnacentral:lncRNA from 1 species